rnacentral:rRNA from 1 species
UACGUAGGUGGCAAGCGUUGUCCGGAAUUAUUGGGCGUAAAGCGCGCGCAGGCGGUCCUUUAAGUCUGAUGUGAAAGCCCUCGGCUCAACCGAGGAGGGUCAUUGGAAACUGGAGGACUUGAGUGCAGAAGAGGAAAGUGGAAUUCCAAGUGUAGCGGUGAAAUGCGUAGAGAUUUGGAGGAACACCAAUAGCGAAGGCAGCUCGCUGGGACGUUACUGACACUGAGGCGCGAAAGCGUGGGGAGCGAACAGG